UUGUUUUGUUUUUACUAGAGAAGUUCCUUUGACUGUAGAUCACUGGAAACCAUGAAGAGGAUAUAAAGCAUUCUCUUCUGAGCAUGAAAUGGGCUUUAGGUGUUGCUUUUUGCAACUGCCUUUUACCAUUGACGAUCACUCUUCCCUCCUUUUAGGACUAGAAGGAGAGAAUGCCUUCUGAG
rfam:Erinaceus europaeus unplaced genomic scaffold scaffold00610, whole genome shotgun sequence